GACGAACGCUGGCGGCGUGCUUAACACAUGCCAGUCGAACGGUGAAGCGCCUUCCUUUUUGGUGGGUGUGGAUGAGUGGCGAACGGGUGAGUAACACGUGAGUAACCUGCCCCCUUCUUCUGGAUAACCGCAUGAAAGUGUGGCUAAUACGGGAUAUUCUGGGUCUGUCGCAUGAUGGGUCUGGGAAAGAUAUUGUUUCGGUGGGGGAUGGGCUCGCGGCCUAUCAGCUUGUUGGUGGGGUGAUGGCCUACCAAGGCGGUGACGGGUAGACGGCCUGAGAGGGUGGACGGUCACACUGGGACUGAGACACGGCCCAGACUCCUACGGGAGGCAGCAGUGGGGAAUAGUGCACAAUGGGCGCAAGCCUGAUGCAGCGACGCCGCGUGAGGGAUGGAGGCCUGCGGGUUGUGAACCUCUUUCGCCAGUGAAGCAGGCCUGCCUCGUUUGUGGGUGGGUUGACGGUAGCUGGAGAAGAAGCGCCGGCUAACUACGUG
rnacentral:rRNA from 1 species